AACUUUGGACAAUGGGGGAAACCCUGAUCCAGCCAUCCUGUGGGUAUGAUGAAGGCCUUCGGGUUGUAAAGUACUUUUUGCCGUGAAGAAAAGGUAUCCCCUAAUACGGGAUACUGCUGACGGUAUCUGCAGAAUAAGCACCGGCUAACUACGCACCAGCAGCCGCGGUAAUACGUUGGGUGCAAGCGUUAAUCGGUAUUACUGGGCGAAAAGCGUGUGUAGGCGGUUCGGAAAGAAAGAUGUGAAAUCCCAGGGCUCAACCUUGGAACUGCAUUUUUAACUGCCGAGCUAGAGUAAGUCAGAGGGGGGUAGAAUUCCACGUGUAGCAGUGAAAUGCGUAGAUAUAUAGAGGAAUAACGAUGGCGAGGGCAGCCCCCUGGGAUAAUACUGACGCUCAGACACGAAAGAGUGGGGGGCAAACG
rnacentral:rRNA from 1 species